rnacentral:rRNA from 1 species
UACGUGAGGGUGCGAGCGAUUUAAUCGGAAUUACUAGGGCGUAACGUGCGCUGGCGGUUUGUUAAGACCAGAUGUGAAAGCCCCGGGCUCAACCUGGGACUGACGUUUGGUACGUAGGCGAAGCUUAGAGGUACGGCAGAGGGGGGUGGAAUUCCACGGUGUAGCAGUGAAAUGCGUAGAUAUGUGGAGGAACACCCGAUGGCGAAGGCAGCCCCCUGGGCCGAUACUGACGCUCGAGGCACGAAAGCGUGGGGAGCAAACAGG